AAAAACAUAGUAUUAAGAUUUAUUUAAUAUAGAAUCUGCUCAAUGAUUUAAUUUAAAUAGCUGCAGUAUUUUGACUGUGCAAAGGUAGCAUAAUAAUUAGUCUUUUAAUUGGGGACUGGAAUGAAAGAUUUGAUGAAAAAUAAACUUUAUUAUUUAUAAAAUUAAAAUUUUAUUUUUAAGUAAAAAAGCUUAAAUAUUUUAAAGGGACGAUAAGACCCUAUAAAACUUUAUAAUUAUUGUUAUUAAAAUUUUUGGGUUAUAUAAAUUUUAAUAUUUUUAAUUAUUUUAUUGGGGUGAUAAAAAAAAUUAUUUAACUUUUUUUAAAAUUUUACAUUAAUUAAUGAUAUUUUGAAUUAAAAUUUUUAAUUAUAUGAAAAAGUUACUUUAGGGAUAACAGCGUAAUUAGUUUUUUAAGUUCAAAUUUAAAAAUUAGUUUGCGACCUCGAUGUUGAAUUAAGAUUAGUCUUAGGUGCAAAAUUUUAAGUUAUAGGUCUGUUCGAC
rnacentral:rRNA from 3 species